GAUGAACGCUGACAGAAUGCUUAACACAUGCAAGUCUACUUGAUUCUACUUCGGUAGUUGAUGGUGGCGGACGGGUGAGUAACGCGUAAAGAAUCUGCCCUUUAGUUUGGGAUAACCUUUGGAAACGAAGGCUAAUACCGGAUAUUAUGGAGACGUCGCAUGGCGACUCCAUGAAAGCUAUAUGCGCUAGAGGAGGACUUUGCGUCCCAUUAGUUAGUUGGGUAGGUAAUGGCCCACCAAGACCGCGAAGGGUAGCCGGCCUGAGAGGGUGAUCGGCCACAAGGGAACUGAGACACGGUCCUUACUCCUACGGGAGGCAGCAGUGGGGAAUAUUGGACAAUGGGCCACAAGCCUGAUCCAGCAAUUCUGUGUGCACGAUGAAGGUCUUCGGAUUGUAAAGUGCUUUCAGUAGGGAAGAAAAAAAUGACGGUACCUACAGAAGAAGCGACGGCUAAAUAUGUGCCAGCAGCCGCAGUAA
rnacentral:rRNA from 1 species